GCUCUUGUCUAUAAUGGUUCUGUAACGUUUUCAGAUGUCUUCGCCUUCUCCUUCGGUUGGCAGUCGAAGUACUCCAUCCUUUCACAUGCAGGGACACUCCGACACUGAAUCCUCUGCUGGCGAGGAAUUGCGUUUUUCUCCUGAACCAAUGGAGUCAACACAGGAGGGUACACAUUCCAUUGAAAAUCUGCGAAGUAGACGUCAUA